UACGAAGGGUGCAAGCGUUACUCGGAAUUACUGGGCGUAAAGCGUGCGUAGGCGGUUUCUUAAGUCCGUUGUGAAAGCCCUGGGCUCAACCUGGGAAUGGCAGUGGAUACUGGGGAACUGGAGUGCGGUAGAGGAGGGUGGAAUUCCCGGUGUAGCGGUGAAAUGCGUAGAGAUCGGGAGGAACACCAGUGGCGAAGGCGGCCCUCUGGACCAGCACUGACGCUGAGGCACGAAAGCGUGGGGAGCAAACAGG
rnacentral:rRNA from 1 species